UGGGGAAUAUUAGGCAAUGGGGGCAACCCUGACCUAGCCGUGCCGCGUGGGUGAAGAAGGUCUUAGGAUUGUAAAGCCCUUUCAGCGGGGAAGAUGAUGACGGUACCCGCAGAAGAAGCCCCGGCUAACUCCGUGCCAGCAGCCGCGGUAAUACGGAGGGGGCUAGCGUUGUUCGGAAUUACUGGGCGUAAAGGGCGUGUAGGCGGCCUAUUAAGUCAGAGGUGAAAUCCCCGGGCUCAACCUGGGAACUGCCUUUGAUACUGGUAGGCUAGAGUCCGGGAGAGGGUAGUGGAAUUCCCAGUGUAGAGGUGAAAUUCGUAGAUAUUGGGAAGAACACCAGUGGCGAAGGCGGCUACCUGGGCCGGUACUGACGCUGAGGCGCGAAAGCGUGGGGAGCAAACGGGAUUAGAUACCCCCGUAGUCG
rnacentral:rRNA from 1 species